GGUAGUAAUAAAUAUUCCAGCGAGGCCCUGGAGGACUGACGUGGAGAAGGAUUUCGCAUGAACUGCCGUUGCAUACGAGUCAGUCAAUCCUAAGCCAUAGGAGAAAUCCUAUGUCACUGAUGGCAUACAAUACUCUAAUGUACAACUCGAGCAACUCUGCAAAGAGGAGAGAGAGUGACACACGUCCGUCAGGCGAAAGAAAAUCCAAUUCCUAUUCCGGAACCCGGCAGCAGAACCGCAUACAAUUCGGGCUCUUGUAAGAAUGUUUGUUGGGAUAACCCAAAAUGACCUGGAGACGCCAUCGGAAGAUCCGAGAAGAGUCUUCUUUUCUGUAAAAGCGUUUGAGUUUCCUGGAAACCUCUAGCAGGGAAAUAGGAUUUGGAACGCGAACAGCACCGUAAUUACGGCGAUGUCCGGAUCUUUCCCUCGGACUUUGAAAAUCCAGGAGAGAGCCACGUGGAGGUGUCGCGUCGGCCCAUAUUCACAGCAGGCCUUCAAAGUAAAGAGCCUCUAAUU
rnacentral:ncRNA from 1 species